UACGUAGGGGGGCAAGCGUUGUCCGGAAUCAUUGGGCGUAAAGAGCGUGUAGGCGGCCCGGUAAGUCCGCUGUAAAAGUCAAAGGCUCAACCUUUGAAUGUCAGUGGAUACUGCCGGGCUAGAGUCCGGAAGAGGCGAGUGGAACUCCUGGUGUAGCGGUGGAAUGCGCAGAUAUCAGGAAGAACACCAACGGCGAAGGCAGCUCGCUAGGACGGUACUGACGCUGAGGAGCGAAAGCGUGGGGAGCAAACAGG
rnacentral:rRNA from 1 species